UGCGUUUGGAGUGCUUUUAUCUUACGAAAAAUCAUCCAUCCUUGACUUAUGCACCAUAAUUCAGUUUCGAUGGGUCCUGGUAUUUGACGUCUCUCAAUCUUAACGUGCGUGCUGUGAACGAGCUUUUUUGGCUCGGCGAGGUUGCAGGGAACGGGCCGCCCAACCUUAAAAAGGUAAUUGCCGAAUUCCAUUUUCUUUUUAAUUUCUUUAAGCCCUUUAAUAACUCCUCAACUUUCCAUUUUCUCGUUUUAUAGUUCAUUUCUAAUCAUUCAAGAAAAUCGAAUGAGGCACGUCUCUUUACACGAUAUUGAAUGGGACGAAAUUUCUCUCUUUUAACGCGUCGCAUCGCCACUCAGCCUUCGAC
rnacentral:lncRNA from 1 species